rnacentral:rRNA from 1 species
GACGAACGCUGGCGGCGUGCUUAACACAUGCAAGUCGAACGCUGAAGCCUGCAGCUUGCUGUGGGUGGAUGAGUGGCGAACGGGUGAGUAACACGUGAGUAACCUGCCCCUGACUCUGGGAUAAGCCUGGGAAACUGGGUCUAAUACCGGAUAUGACCAUUCUCCGCAUGGAGUGGUGGUGGAAAGUUUUUCGGUUGGGGAUGGGCUCGCGGCCUAUCAGCUUGUUGGUGGGGUGAUGGCCUACCAAGGCGACGACGGGUAGCCGGCCUGAGAGGGCGACCGGCCACACUGGGACUGAGACACGGCCCAGACUCCUACGGGAGGCAGCAGUGGGGAAUAUUGCACAAUGGGGGAAACCCUGAUGCAGCGACGCCGCGUGGGGGAUGACGGCCUUCGGGUUGUAAACCUCUUUCAGUAGGGAAGAAGCCUUCGGGUGACGGUACCUGCAGAAGAAGUACCGGCUAACUACGUGCCAGCCGCCGCCGUAACAC